rnacentral:lncRNA from 1 species
CCCGUUAGCAAUAUAAUGAUAUAUAUAAAAUUAUGAAUUGUUGCUCACAGCUAAUAGUACUGUAUAUUAUCUAAUAAGAUAUCAAAAUAUAUUUUACAGCAAAACUAAUUUCAAUGCAUGAAAACAAUAGGAUGUCUAAUGACUGUUUUGUAUUGACGAAAACUAAGCAAUGAAGACAUAACUAUAGCUGUGUAACAGAGAUUUAAAAAAAGAUUAAAUAAAUACAAUCCGCACAAGAAAGUUGAUGAACUGAAAGAUCAUCAUUAAUCAUUUUUGUUCAAUACAUACAUGAUGCAUGUAUACCUAGAAACUGAAAUGAAAGAGUGUCGAAGAUACCAGAGGAACAGUCAAACUCAUAAAUCAAAAAUAAACUGACAACGCCAUGGCUAAAAAAUAAAAAGACAAACAUACACAUAAUAGUACAAAAGACAAAACAAAGAAAACUAAAGACUAAGCAACACGAAACCCACCAACACUGGGGUGAUCUCAGGUGCUCCGGAAGGAUAAGCAGAUCCUGCUCCACAUGUGGCACCCGUCGUGUUGCUCAUGUUAUUACAAACCCGGUAAAUAGUCUAAUUUGGUAGAUCACAUUCGUGGUGAAAAGAGAAGUUGGUUGUAGUUACGACAUAAGGAACAUAUCCGAUAUAAUCUGUGAAACGGUUGUUCCAUAACAGUCAACCAACUCGUGAUGGCGUCCAUAAAAUUUACGAAUUGAUGGUUUCAACUUCACC